UUGACUAAUAAACUGUACUAAUUGGCUCGACCAAAAAUUCUAGAAAACAAUAUGUAGAUGGGAAUAUGAGUCUAGUUUCAGGGAAAAAUUACGAAAUUGAUUUUCGAGUUGUGAAACUCAAGAUAUGAUUUUUAAGGUGACAGUGAUGCAGUUAGCCAACUGCCUGGAAAAUUUUAAAAUGGACUGCAAUAGUAAGCGAAUUUAGUCUGUGAACCCCUCGUGUCCGACUCCGG
rnacentral:lncRNA from 1 species